rnacentral:rRNA from 1 species
AGAGUUUGAUCCUGGCUCAGAUUGAACGCUGGCGGCAUGCCUUACACAUGCAAGUCGAACGGCAGCGGGGACUUCGGUCCGCCGGCGAGUGGCGAACGGGUGAGUAAAGUAUCGGAACGUACCUUUCAGUGGGGGAUAACGUAGCGAAAGUUACGCUAAUACCGCAUAUUCUGUGAGCAGGAAAGCAGGGGAUCGCAAGACCUUGCGCUGAUUGAGCGGCCGAUAUCAGAUUAGCUAGUUGGUGGGGUAAAGGCCUACCAAGGCGACGAUCUGUAGCGGGUCUGAGAGGAUGAUCCGCCACACUGGAACUGAGACACGGUCCAGACUCCUACGGGAGGCAGCAGUGGGGAAUUUUGGACAAUGGGGGCAACCCUGAUCCAGCCAUGCCGCGUGAGUGAAGAAGGCCUUCGGGUUGUAAAGCUCUUUCGGCCGGGAAGAAAUCGCAUAGGUUAAUACCCUGUGUGGAUGACGGUACCGGAAUAAGAAGCACCGGCUAACUACGUGCCAGCAGCCGCGGUAAUACGUAGGGUGCGAGCGUUAAUCGGAAUUACUGGGCGUAAAGCGUGCGCAGGCGGUUUCGUAAGACAGAGGUGAAAUCCCCGGGCUCAACCUGGGAACUGCCUUUGUGACUGCGAAGCUAGAGUACGGCAGAGGGGGGUGGAAUUCCACGUGUAGCAGUGAAAUGCGUAGAGAUGUGGAGGAACACCGAUGGCGAAGGCAGCCCCCUGGGCCGAUACUGACGCUCAUGCACGAAAGCGUGGGUAGCAAACAGGAUUAGAUACCCUGGUAGUCCACGCCCU